rnacentral:rRNA from 1 species
GACGGGGGGGGCAAGUGUUCUUCGGAAUGACUGGGCGUAAAGGGCGCGUAGGCGGAUGGCACAGUCAGAUGUGAAAUUCCCGGGCUUAACCUGGGGGCUGCAUUUGAUACGUGUGAUCUAGAGUGAGGAAGAGGGUCGUGGAAUUCCCAGUGUAGAGGUGAAAUUCGUAGAUAUUGGGAAGAACACCGGUGGCGAAGGCGGCGACCUGGUCCUUGACUGACGCUGAGGCGCGAAAGCGUGGGGAGCAAACAGG